CGGUGGCCAAAACUUUAAGACGACGACCACUGCCCUUUGAACUCACUAACACAUUCCACACUCCCAUUGUUGGCGGAGACCCCAAGUUAAGAGCAACCAUUGGUAAUUUUAGAAUCGUAAAACAAGAACAAGGAAUUAAAACCCAGAAAAGCUUUGGUGGCUAGAUUCCUGAAUAUGAACUAAACAUUCACAUAAAACAGACAGCGAAAGCUUAUAAAGGCUAUAGCAAGAAGAAGACGAAGAAGAAGAAGAAGGCAUGAGUAGCCAGAAGUAAAGCGUGGGAGCAGACAGACAGGUGGUCCAGAAGCCGACCGCAAUGGUCACGUGUGGUUUGCAAUUUCUGGUGCUCGCGUUAUUUACUGAGAUUCAUGAUUAUAGUAGAAAACAGAUCAUUUGGACAAUGUGGCUUUUGCUGUCUUGCGUCCUUAUUCCUAUGGCUAGAUACAGAAAAUCAAUUACAGUAUCUCAGUGGCAAUGUAAACGGAACUCUUUGUUUGGAAAACAAAAAGGACAAAGGUUCCGUCUGCCGGCCCCCAAUUUAUGUUUAAG
rnacentral:lncRNA from 1 species